CGCUCCGUGUUUACCGAUGCGGAGCUGGGCCGAGCCCCGAGCCGGGCCUGCGGCGGUGCUGCCUUCGCAGGUGCGCCGGGAAGUUUGGCCUCCUUCAAAAGGAGGGUCUCGUUUUCUGAAGUCGGUUUUCUUUUGUUCGUUUUGCGCGUUUCGAUUUGUGCCUUUAACGCACCUGCUCUGUGCUUUGUGUGUGCUGUGUAGCGCUCCUUCAUCACCUUUGUGAGUGCCGUUAUGAAAUGACUACAACAGAGGAGCGCCUGCGAGCAUUCCUCCUUUUGUGCUUGGUUUUCCCUGCUGUCCUCCGGCGGUGCGAUGGGCUGUGGGGGGGACCGGCCGCAGACAAUGACUGCAUUUUCCCAGGGUUGGGAUCUGAGCUUACAAAAAUGCGAGGCUGGCGCUUCGUCCAGCUCUUGUGCUCGGAUCCUGUGUCACAAACCUGGGCAGGGCUGGGUUACCUGCAGCUCCCGGAGGCAUGCCGUGCCGCCCGCAGCAAACCCCAGUCUCUCGCGUUUGGUGGUUUGCAAGGCUGUAAGGGCCUGUCCCCAGGUUCUCUGCUCAAUGACAGAACGCUGCGCUUGCUCAUCAGGUUAAUUGGCCUUUUGCCUCCUUAGAGGCAGUGUGCCACACCAGUUAUGCUUAGCUCCAUAAUGAACAUAUGCGCGUGGUGUUGUUGUUGUUGUGUUAUCACAUAUGUGUUCCUGGGGCAGUACUUGGCCAUCGCUGACUGCAGACCCUGUGUUUUGAAGGCUGGACCUGUCUCUUUUUUUAGUUAUUGCAAAGAGGGUGAGACCUAGCCUACCAUAAUAUGUUGUUGAGAAAAAUGGGCUAGCGCUGCAUAUCAGAAAGCUAAUUCAGGAGGCACUGGUCUCAUGUACAUCUGUAUGUGGGCCAUUGUGGACACUGAGGAUUUGGUGAAAUGCGGAGUUAAAAGCAAGAGAACAGCGGAAAUUUAUUGAGAUUUUGAUUUUGCUACAAGGUGAAAGCACAGCAGAAGGUCUAUGGCUUUUUUUUUAAGCAGGAAGGAUUCCAAACUUGCGUAUCUCUGAGCAGCGGGGUAUGACUUUAAGAGGAACGGAGGGUGCUCCGUUGCUUUCUGGAUCAGGCCCAAAGCAUUAACGUGUGGGCUGAUGUAACAACAAGUGAGGGGAUGUCGUUCUGCCCGUGACACCCUCCUGGAGCUGAUGCUUUGUUUUUGUGUUUCUGAUGGGCUGAGCGGGCUCAGGGACGCUGCAGGUUGUCAGUAGCGCUGCCUCAGUGGAGCUGUAUGGCAGAUGCAAAAGGAAAAAAAUAAAAAAAGUUGGUGGUUGGGAACUGUCAUAGCUGUGGUUUGUUAAGUGAUGAGGAUUAGAUGGGAGCCUCAGCACACUGAACUUGUGGUUCCCGCAGCAUGAAGGUUCAGCCAGGGCACCAGGAGGCAGGUUCUGAAGGUGACAUUCCUGCCAGGAUCUUCUGAUUUGUGGCAUCUGUGCUGCUGGAAGGUGCAUGGACUGGGAAAGCAGGCCACGGUCUGCUUUCUUGCUCCUUGGGUUCUUCUGGGAGAGGGUAUCCAAAGAGGCACCAGGCUAUUUCCCAUCCUCGCUGCAGGUGGGGGUGGUGGACAGCUCCAGGGCUGGCAGAAGGAGCAGUGUCCAGGCACAGGUACCUCCGAGGGACAGUGGGCUGCAGGAGCACCAUGGAGGAGGGGGGUGUGCUGGGCCAUGUGGCUCUGACCACGAACCCCUACUCACAAAGAUGGAGGCUUCACAGGGCCGUUGUCUCCCCUCCCUGGCUCUGUGCCUGGCUCUUAUUUCAGUGAUUCAUUCCCUUCUCACGGACUGGGAUGCUGUAUGUCCUCUGCUCUCCUGCCUGCUGAGUCCCUGCGUGCACUGCAGGGCCAGGCCUGCAGUCGGAACAUCCACGGCUCUCUCCCAGGGCCAGGCUGUUGCUUGCACAGCAUGCUGCAGGGACAGGUGAAGCCCUGAAGGACAGUAAGGGAGUCUGAAGGAGAGGGGAGCACUGCACUGGGUGCAGGAGGUGGAGCAGGAACGUCCGUGCCAAUUUCCGGGAGGUACCUGGACUGGUCUCAGCUGGACAGUGUCAUACUGCCCAUGCUGUGCUAAGAUCCGGGAAAGGGAACUCUCCCUCCUGGGCCCACUGCUGGGCACUCUGGAGGCUGGAGCUUCCCUACCUGCAAAAUCCAGAGGUCUACAGCCUCUGCCCCUCUGCAGGGCUGUGGAUGAAGGACUGUUUGUGCUCCCUGGCACACAGGGAACAGCUUGGGUCUCACCACCCACAUGGGCAUCUUAAAACCUCUCCUGCACUGGCAGUGUUGUUGUGGUUUUCAUGAUGUUAUAUAAUGAUUCCUGUUAUUGCUUCUCCCAUCUCUUUCCUUCACAUCUUUUAGCUCCUUAAUUUUGGAUGGUCUCUUAUUUCCUCUGCGCCUGCAUGCACAGAUUGAGGAGGAAGACGUGGCUGCAAGGCACAGUGCUUCCUCCAGUGCAUGGCCAUGCAGCACAACAUCCCUGCUGGGACCACGCUGAUUUCGGUGCACAAGGGGGGUUGUGUUCCUCACCCUCCUGGUCCUCAAGGGUCUAUUGUGUCACCAUUUGCUUUUCCCUGGACAUGAACUUCUGCUUCCUGUGCAAAGGAAAUGUCUUGUAUACAGGAGGGGCUCUUGCUAGUGGGUAUGUAACAUCUUUGGCCUCUGAUUUCUGGUUUCACAGGGUAACAAAUGUCUCCCUGCCUCCAUAUGCAGCAAGCUGCAAAGUAGAUUUAAUACUUGUACCUCUCCUGGAGCACCUCACUGAAACACUGCAGAGUUCCAGGAGGAGCGCACAAUGUGCUGUAGGAUUAGGUGGCUUAGGCUGUACUAGUAAUCUGGUGGGGGCAGAUCCCUGGGAGGAUUUGCAGGCACAGGACCUGUUGUUGCAGCAGCAGGUGCUGUGUGCGAGAUGAGGCCCUGAGCACUGGGUUCUGAGGCACGACAGUGCUGGGACCAUGCGCUGCUGGCAGGGAACGUGCUGACUCUUGGAGCUGGGCUGUGAGGAGAGGAGGGAGGACUGAUUUUAAGUGCCCGCGGGAAAAUACAGCCCUCUGGAUUAUGGUGUAGGUGUUGCUGCCUGAAAUAGCACUGGCAAAUUGUUGGCAAGCAGCUCAUGCAAAAACACCCCUUUCUGCUCUCCUGCAAUUCAUCCCUGUGCUGCAGCCAGGCAGGUGCAGGAGAGGGGCAUGGGCUGCAGUGGGGCUCUGCCUUUAUCCCAGGACAGCUGUGGAGCAGGGAGCAACAAAGUUUAAUUUUCUUACAUGCUGCCCUGCUAAUUAGAGCUGUCUGAAACUGCUUUUCACCACCUUCAGAAAAUCACACUUCCUUAGGUUCACAGAGGAGCAAAAACUUGUUUCCUUCUUGCCUUGAGCUCCUCCGGAUGGGGAGUGAUCACUGAGCUGCAGAAAGCUUUUCCCCCAUUGCACUCUUCUGCUCUCUCUCUGCUCCUGGUUCACCGGCACAAGGGAUUUUGUAUGUGCACAAACCCUGGGAUGGCAAGUCCUCAGGCCAGUGCAGCUCCUCAUGUCCCUUCUGAGGGUAAAGCAUUGCUGCAGGCUCAGCCAUGCCCAAAAGAACUGAGCGCGCGCCUCCCAGGCACGUGCUGUGCACGCAGCAAAGCCUGGCUGAUGUCUCAGUGCCUUUCAGAACCACUUGACUAAAUAAAGCAUUUCCCCAAGGAUCUCUGUGAGUAACAGGAGACUACUAAUAGGGCUCCUGCAUGGUCUCAGUCAUGCUGGUUUCUGUAUCGAGGUCCUCUCCAUGCACAGCCCUGGGCAGCAGCUGCUGCUCAGUACCUUUGAGCUCUCCCCGCAGAUAGCCCUUACAUAUGGGCCCUGAAGCAUAAUGGCCUUCCUAAAUCACAGGCAACACCUUGUCUUGGGUUCGGAUCUGGUUCAGAAACUGGUGCACGCUUGGGAGCGCAGAGGCAAUAAACUCCAUUGCUGGGCAGAGAGGGAGCCAUGCUCUGAGCUCCUCGCUGGGUCUGGGCUUGGUAAAGCAAAAUGCACCGUGAUCACCAGGGCCUGGCUACUGGCAUGGAAGUGUACUCCCUCCAAAGCUGUCAGAUCUCUUUUUCAUGCCCAAAAAUGCUGCUCAAAGAAGGUGGCUCCCUUGGAAGGUAUUCUGUGCGCCGUGCCCUGCUCUGACCUGGAGGACCCUGGCCCUCAGCAGCAGCUCAGAGAUCAUGUGCAGCUCUGGAGGAAGUGCAUCUCCCUGGCAACUUUGGCAGCCAGGCAUCUGCUCGCCUACUGACUGCGUGUGCAGCGCUCAGUGAGUGCCAACGCCUCUCAGUGCUUUCUUCUCAGGUCUGGGAGGAGGUGGGGGGGUCUGCCCGUUGCCAGAAACUUAGGGGACGGGGUAUUGAGCUGGCAAGGGUGGGUUAAAGAUCAAAGGGGAGAGGAAUCGCAGUGCUGCUCUUCUGCUGUCAAGUGACCGUGCUUCCUGUGCCAGGCUGCUGUGGCCUCCAGUACUGGGCUGGGUGCUGUAGAGCUCAGCCAGAAGGGUCGGUGAAACUUCUGUCACUUCAUCCUUGAGGUCCAGCUCUGUCCUGGGUGAGGGGGUGACAAUCUGGAGGGGCAAAAGGUGAGAUUCACCUGAACUUGGGGUACUAGUUGAAUGAAAAUGUAUGUAUCUCCAGACAGGGAAACCCAGAGCAUGGUCGGGCGCGGCGGGAUCACAUCUGUUCUCAGAGGACUUGAAAAGUUUUGUAUGAAUGUUUCAGCAGGUAGUGCUGAAGCUGUUAUGGGAGGGGGGAGAGUUCAUAUUAGGUAAAGGAAACAAGAAGAUAAGAGACUCUUGACGCUGGUGGGAGGCAGAAGAUUCUACCUUGAGGACCCAGGGCACUCAUGUUCAACUGAGCAGGGUCUCAUGCCCCUGUGUAUGUUGGGUUCAGCUGAGGUGACAGCCAUGUCUUGGCAUUGUUGACUGAUUCUCUGUUUUCUUGUCUUUCCUGCCCCGGGGUCUUACCUGUGGGCAAUUACUACUUUGAGGUAUCUCUGCAAUCCCAACAAUGACCAACGCGUGACCUCCCAGAAACACUGCCCAGCAUUAAUCAAGGGUUGAUUGCUGCCAGCAAUGCAUUUUGACAGUAGGUUGAGUAGGGAACCAUCAGAAAUGACCUUGGUAUGAGUGACAUCCUUGUGGACAGGAAUAGGAACUAGAGAGCUGCUUAUGUCUGUUCCCACUCUGUUGUCUGGUGCUGCUCUGAUCCAAGAUGCUUCUGCUCACAGCAUCUCUCCCUGGACAGGGCAGUACACUUCUCACUGGACCCAACCUGGCCCAAGCCCUGCUGGCUAAGGGCUCUGGAGAAAGCCUUCCCAAUGGGAUGGAAACAAGCCAGUGCAAUAUGCUGGUGGGAGCAGAGCCCCAGGGCUGAUAGCAAGCGUAUCCUGGAGAUGCCAGCUUUCUAGGGCAGGUCUGGAUGGGCAGUGCUGUGCCUGAAGGCUUGCGGAAAUGCUGAGGAGGAUGGGAGGGCUUUGCAGAGCCUGUGGAAGGGCAUACUGUGCUUACUAGGAGAGCUGGUCUGGAAGUGCCAGUUUGGGGUUGGAAGGCAGGUAUUUGCAUUCAUUGUAAUUGAUCAUUGGUCAUCCACUUUUCAUGAUGGCUCAGUAGUGGUGAAAUGUUGUUCAAGAUGCUCUUGGUGGUCUCAGGGCAGGCAGAAGGCUCAGCAGGAUGGGGAGAAUGGGGUGAGCUGUGCUUUAUGGACUGCCCCACUGCUGGAAGUGAUGCACCAGCCCUGGCUGCUGCACUCACAGGGGUCUGACCCCAUUGGAUCUGGGCUGGGGCAGCAAGCAUGACCCACAGAGGUUUCCCUGCUGAGUCCUACUUUGUGGCUCCUGGCUUUGCAUGCUUCCAUGCAUAAGGCAGGAGGAGGCAGUGCCCAUUUCAGCAUCUGCACACCCAACCCUGUUCCUCUGGCAGUGCCCCAUGCAAAUGGGGCAGACAUCAGACGUGUGUUCCGCCUUCCCAGCACUGCCUUGAUCUAAUGCAUUCCCACGAAGAUGCCUUGAUGUCAGAAGAUGGGGAUGCAGCUGGAGCAAAGGCAUCUGCUGUUAGGAGGGAUUUCUCUGUCGUUCUCUGAGCACACUUUCCUCCUAGGCUGGUGAUUAAGAGGAAGAUGGUUAUUUUCCCUGGUGUCGUGGACAGAAGAGGCUGGAUCUGUAGACUGACUCUUCUUGCUGUGCUUUUUUGGACGUUCAGGGACAAUUGCAGCUGCAGGCUGUGGGAAAUGCAGUAGGAGCCCCGGAGCUGACCAUGUCCUAGAGUCCAGAUUGGAUCAUAGCCAGAGAGGGACAAAUCUAACUUGGGGGAGUGGUCCGGUGGGUUUGGGAGGAUGAAAUGCAGGUAAGACACUGAGGAAGACUCUGAGGUUUUUGGGCACUGGAUAGCAUAAUCUGUGUAGAAAACAGAAGUUAAUUCUUCUCUGCCUACAAGUAGGGUGAUGGGAAGCAACAGGCAUAGGGUCACCCAAAGAAGGUCCUUUCUUCACACGGUGUCUUACUGCGGGGCACUGCCUGGACCAAAGGCUUGUACAGGCUCACAGUGAAAGCAUCUGUGUGUAUGGGAGGGUUGGGGUGCAGCUGCUGCUUCAGGCUUUCUUCAGAUGCCGUGCUGCCUGACAUGUGGGACAUGGUGGGAAAAGGCAUGAUAUGGGCAUGGAGCAGUGCUAUGGCUGCAGUCCCAGGAUGGAUAUGCUCUGCAGGAAGCAGUGACGCAUUUGUCCUUCUGAUGAUCAGUAAUUCCUUCAUGGAGCCUGAACUCCAUCACCUGGGCUGUGCUCCAGAGCAGGAGCUCCAUAGAGAGUCUCCCCCAUUUCCAGCUGGCGGUCAGCCUGCCCAGAGGCUGCAGCACAGAAAGCCAGAUGCUGUUGUGUGGAUUUGCUUCUGGGCCUGUAUGGCUGUGCUGGUGCACACAACAGAGUUGUGUUUGGGUCUUUGUGCUCUGGAUGCAGCAGGGAGGCUGUUCGUGGAGAUCUGGGUUCACUUCCCAUCCAUGCCACUGGCUGCAAGAGAGCUGCUUAGUAUCUCCACACCGUGAUUCUCUGCAUGGCAAGCAGGCAGGAUGCUGUUUUGCACACUUUGCUAGAGAGCAGACAGAACCUGGCCACAUACCGGGUGAUGUACCAGUGUAUCAGUGCCAGUCAUCAGCAGAAGUGGUGGUGAAAGCCUGCCCUCAUCCCAGCACCUGUCACUGAUGGCUCUUGGGGCAGUCUGUCCAUCCAACUGGGCUGGGGGCCUUGGGUGGCCACCUAGCUCUAAGCAUCUCAGACGGAAAGCAGCAGUCCCUAAAGCUGUCUGUGCUCUGCAGCUGUCUGUGUGGGGGAGCUGUGAUGUGUGAGGAGACAGCUGCUGUCAGUCCAUCAUGUGGGGAUGUGCGGGCUCCUGGCAUCCAGGCUGCUUUUCCCCUUUGCUGAACUAGCUGGGAGCACUGGCAGCAAGUGCUGGGCCCUGAGGGCACUUGAUACUGUGUGAUGGUGUGGAGAGAGGGUUUCCCAAGCUGUUGUAGAGCUGAGCAGCCUUGUGGCGUGCGCUGCAGUGGAGGACGCCUAAGUGAGGCUGGCCUACCUGAUGCCUGCAAAAUUCUGCACAUCUGUAGCUGCUGUGCAGUCUGAAUGAUUCAGGUUGCCUCAUGACUUAAGCUGAUCCUGCAUGUGGAUAUCAAGGCCCAUUUCCCAGCCCUCUGGUAUGCUGCAUGUCAGUAGGUGUUACUGGAGGUGGCCCAAACACAGACAGGCAGGGUUUUGUGUGCAGGUUGACUUCUGCAGUCUUCCCGGUGAGAGAAAAGGCACUUGCUGGCUGUGCCGAGACAGCUCAUCUGGAGCCCUCCUGCCUUGGGUCACAUAUGGUCUCUGGCUUCUCCUUCCUUCCCACCACCAUGAGCUGGAGCGCCUUCUGCUCUGUGUCAUCAAAGCAAAGCACAGAGCCCAGAGCAUCACACCGGGACAGUGCAGUUGCAGGGAAGCGGAAGAAAUCCUGCCCAUGGUGUUGACACGCCUGUAGAGAAAACAGCUGAAUUUGCCAAGAAAGCACAGGCCACCCUUGUAAUCAAACUGGUAACUGUGAAUAGAAGUAUGGCCACUGCAGGAAUGAGGCUCCAGAUGGUUCUCUGAGCAAGGAGGAAAGAAAAUACCUUUCCAUGGUGAGCUUUGAAACCAGCUGAUGAUCUGCUGAGUGCAUCAAACCUCAGAUCUGCAUGUUAGAACCUCUAGGAGAGGGCCUGGUAACUCCCAGAUCAGAGAUAAAUGUAGUGGUUUCUGGCUUCAGGGUGGCAGAUAAGCAGAUGUGAUUAUGCUGUUGGGAAACAGUGACUUUCUGAAACCUUACAGCCUGAAGAGUGGUUGCGGUAGGGCUGGAGGUGGCUGCAGGCAGCUCUGCAGCUGGAGGGAGAGAGAUGUUGUUCUGCUUUGCUGCUGGCACCUGUGUGGCUGUGGGUGCUGCAGUGUAAGGUGGGUUCCAUGAGGGUUCCAUCAGCUCUUCCGUAAUCCAAUGCCCCUUUCCAUCACCCUGUUGUCAGCGGAUUUCCCACCCCUCUCACUUGCCCAUUUUCUGCCUGGCUCAGGGCAGCUCUGCAGUGCCAGAGGUCCCCAGGAGACACUGGGUGGGUGGGAAGGGGUGUGCCUGAAGCCUGGGAAAAAAAAUCCCCGUCCCUGGGGCAGAAACCUGCCCAGCAGUGGGGCUUAGAGGCAUGGGGGUCUUUGCUGUAGCAGACACCUUCCAGCAAGUCAGGCUCAUAACAGGAUUUCAUGGGGAAUGGUUUUAUACCGGUCUAAACUCAUCUUGUGCAGUAGGGGAAUGGCACACAUGAGGGUAAUCUCCUGGAUGCAGCGUCUGACAGAAAACCCCCUCCCCGAAGUCUUACUUUCAUGGUUGAUGUUCUUCAAAAUAAUCUUUUUUCUCCUCUGUGUGACAAUUGACAUGGGAAACCCUUCUGCGAGGAAAUAAAUUCUGCCUGUGGCUUUCACUUGGCAGUGCUGAAUUUCCUUCCAUGCUGCUGUUGUCUUUCUCCUUUCCCCCUUCUCCUCUUCUCCCUCCCACACCUCUCUUCUCCAUCACACAUCCUCAGCUUUUAGAGCGAUAAUUGCAGAUGAGCUAAGAAAACCCCAACGUGUUUUUAACGAUGACUUUCAUUCCUUUUUCUGCAGUGUUCUCUUAGGCUGCACUCUGUUUGAUAAUAUGAAGGUGUUUCAAUGAUUUUUUUGUUGUUUAGACCUGUUCCUGGAGGAGAUUUCCUUGAAUUUACUUUCUGGAUGAGAAAGGGGAAUAGGAGGUUGACUGGUGGCACUAAAUGUGGAGUCUCCUACUUCAGAAGCCGCCGGGAUGUGGCUGUGGGCAUCUGCUCUGGGUGUCGCUGCUUGAGCAGGCAUUGGAGCAGAUGGACCCAGAGGUCCCUGCCAUCCUCGAUGAGUCCUUGACGGUGAUUCUUUGUGGUCAGUCGAGGACCUAUUGUCCAUGUGGUUCUCACUCGCUGGAUGUUGAAGGCCUGGAGCCUUGGUAGAUAGGUGGGUUAGCCUGGUUUGCCCAGGGGUUUGGGAUUGUGUGUUAGUGCCUGUGUUACAGGGUGCCAUAAACCCUUGGCCAAGCAGGCAGCUGAGGUCAGCAGUCUGAUUUUGUUCUCUCAGCUCCCUGCUGGUGGAUGCCGUGGAGGUUUCCCCAUAAAAGAGGAAUGCUGGAGUCAAGCAGCCUUGUGUCUGCCUGCAGAGUGCAGGUGAGAGCUAUACCUAAGCGCCCACCCAUCCUCUCUGACCUCGGACUCUGGCUCUGUGUUCCCCAUCCCCACAGGGUUGUGGAGUAGCAUCUCACAUUCAGCUUCAUGAGUUAUCUCCAGUGCUGUGGGAAUGAUGCACAAGGAUAUAUGCAUGGGCUCUUAUGCAGCCAUGCAACUGAGUUCUCAAGGGUUCCAUCACCUACAAUAAGCUCACUGCUUGCUCUCUCUUCUCCCGCUCCCCAUAGGUCUUGUCUCUUCCUGUCAGGCCCUGCCUGUCCUUCCCCGAGGCAGCUAGGACAGGUAGGAGCUCAGGAGCCUCUUGUAGUGUCCUCCUGCCACCCCGGGAGUCAGACCAAAGUCCCGAUAAGCCCAGCCCUAGGCGCUCCUGUGUCGCAUGUGGCCUGACUUUGCUUCUCCAAAUCACUACCUGCAAGCCCACCCCAGGCACUGCCGAGACUUUUACUUCUCAGGUGCUCUUGGAUGGGUGUGCAUCAGGGGACAUGGCUGCGGAGAGCAGCGCUGGGGCCUGGUGGCACUACUGGGCACUGUGAUAUGGCCUGGACUCUCCCCAUAGAAAAGAGGGCUGGGAUAGCAUGAGGAGCAGCUCUUUGCUGUCUUCAAACUAGAUUGUAUCUCACAGUUGCUGUGCAGGGAGUGGCCUGGUGCUGGGAUUGAUGCUGGCAGUCCUGCUGUUCCCUGUCUGCCUUCCCGUGCAGGCCAGUGAUGCAGGAGCGGCAGGAGGAGGGCUGAGGCAGCAGAGAACCACUGCCAGACGGCUGCAGGGUAGACAUGGUGCCUUGCUGCCUUGCAGCCUGGCAGGAGGGAUUCUAGGUGAGAGCAAAUACCCAGCCUGCAGCGGAGUGCACUGGAAGGGAUUAGACCAUGCCAGGCAAGCAGCUGGUUGUGUUGUACAUGAGAACUUCCCCUCACCUGCCACUGACCCUUUGUGUGCCAGCUUGUGCAGCGUGGUCUCACUGGGACUGCUGGCAAUGGCAGUGCUGCUCCUUCUGGGGCUUUGUGUCCCUCACAGCGGAGGUUGGUCAGGAUCCUUGGAGAAGCCUUCAGUCAGAGCAGCGUCACCCCUGGCAGCUGAACCUGCUCAGUGUGGGAGACCUACACAAAAGAAAGCACACUGGGGAGAACGGGAGAAAAGAGAGAAGUCACCGUGAGCUGGAGCUGAACAAUGCUGGGUGACCUUUAUUGCUUCAGCAGCCUUGUUCAGAGGGAAGUGGAGGAUUCUUGAUGUUGAGAUAUUGCACUUAGAAGCUCAGCAGUGUGUGUUCCCUAUACUAGGAGCUGCGUGCUGCGCACACGUGUUUAUGGCAGGGAAAUUGGGAAGCUCCACUGCUACCUUUCCCUAAACAAGUCCCACCUGGCUACUUAUCCAGCUGGCAAGGAACAGGAAUAAUCCAUGCCCCCUGCCCAUGGGCAGGGGGGAUAUUUCCCUCUCCUCCCUCUGCAAUUGGAUGCUUGCAAAGGAAAGCUUGCUGCAAGCCAAGCAUCACUUGCACUCCAUCAGACGUGGGUGUCUAUAAAAAGCUUCUCUGGGGUUGCAAUUGGAUGUGCUGGCUGUGCCACGUGGUCUCUUGUAAGGCCUGUGUUGCUGAGCAAGUGGCAUUCCACUUAUUUUUGGCACUAAUAGUCUUUAGUUAAUACAUAAAUUCAGCUUAAAUUCUGGAUGGAAAAUAAAUCCCAAGUGGAGGCUCUGCUAAUAAGAUGACAGACGCUUUGGGGAGCCGGGGCUGCUUGUCAGCAGAGUGGUUGUGACUGCUGAGAUCUGAGAGCAGCAACAUGCUCAGGCACAAGGUCCUUAGAAGUUACCACAAGUUGUCAGGCUAAACUACAGAAGAAUUAGACAGAUAGCUGAGGUGAGCUCUAACUUGAACUUCUAGAGCCGAACUCGUUACAGCAAAUGCCCCAGUGUGAUCCUGAAUCCCACGCUGUCAUGGUGAGAAAAGGAAGGAGUUGGAGCAUCAGUUUAGGUCUGCAAAGCUGCAAGGCACCCUCCUCUCUGACAGUGUGCUGGUCUGAGGUUCUCUGUAGUACUUCUCCUUUCUCAGUGACCCACUGCAGGUCACCCCGGUGUGUUUCCUGGCUCAUCCUGGAGAACCUUCACCCCAGAUCUGAGGGUGUCUGGGGACUUCACUGGAGUGGCUGUUUCCUUCCAGCAACAAGAGAGCUGGGGACACCCAGCUGUGGAGGCCAAGCCAUGGAAAGCACUGUAUCUUGGAGCGCUGAGCUUAGCUUUGCUCUGCUGCUUGGGAAGAAGCACCUUUCUAGGAACUUUUUCAAGGGGUACUGCAGUAGGAAUGAGGGUAGUCUGCUAGCGAGUCCCUACCCUACCCCUUCCCUCAGGCCUGGGGCUCCCACUCCAAAUGGGAGGCAUUCUGGUGGCAGGGCUGCAAAAUCCUGUGGCUGAGGGAAGGCUCAGGCCCUGCUCCGCACCUCCAGGCAGGGUUCUUGGAGGGUUUUAAUGAACUCCAACUCUUUCCAGAGUUGGAAAUGACUUGAAAGUUAACUGGGGUGUGGAAGAGUGUCAGGUCAUCCCUGUGUCUUGUGCUGGCCUGCCUCAACUUUUGAGCGAAAUCAGCCCCUCUUCACUCAGAGCAUGAACCCCUUGCUAGGUAGCAGACAGGAUUUUAGUUAUUUAGGUCUCAGAUCAAUCUUUGUGGGGAGGUUCAGGCCUCUUAGUCACAGUCAGGACCAAUGAAGCAGCACUGGUCUCAUAAAGUGUGGGGAGCCUGAGAUCAUUUCUUCCUUGCUGUGGAUUUCUGCUAGGCCCUCCUUCUCUUCUCUACAGUCUCUAUCAGAAAGUCUGACAAAGUAAGGUUCUAUUUUUUUAAUUUUUAUUUUUAAGUUUUCUGGGCAAUAAUGUGCAGUUGCUUUGUUUUUCUGUGCUCCUGAGGGGAGAGAGAGGGUUCGUUCUGGAGCUCUUGGGGCUGUAUUUACUGCAACAGGGAAAGCCCUGGCUAGUGCUGUCAGUGGACAUCCCUAAUGCACAGUGGGAUAUGGCCAGGUCCCAGCUGCAGCCUGUGGACAAGAUUUAACAACCUUAAAGUUUUGUAGGGAAGCUGUAGGUAGAUGCAGCUGUUCCUCUCCUCUCUGAUCCCUCAUAACUCCACUCUCAUCCGGGACCCGCCUCGGGGACACGUUCCACUGCAGUGAAUGCUGUACAGUGGCCCUGGUAUGGAGCAGGGGCCUUGGGGAGGUACUUGGGUGUGCUUAGAUGUUUGUGCCAGAGAAUUCCCUUGGAGCCAGCAGGUCGAUGCUGGAGACUGGGAGAAUAAAAGAAACCCCAGCAUCUCUACACCAGAACAAGCUCUUGGGAUAGGUCUUUGUUAAGCACAGGGCUAGCCAGUGGGAAAAGAGCAGUCCAGGCACGGGCUGGGACAUCCUGGCUGGGACUUGCAGCUGGGCUGAUCUGUGCUGGGGGCGGGGAGAAGUGUGGGUGAGGGAGCAUUUUGUGCGCAGGGGCCUGAGCUGUGCAGAUCUGGCUCAGCCCCGGGGCAGCCCUCCUCUCUGCUGUUCAUCACUUAGUGUUGUUACCCCAACCCUUUGCCAUUCCGCUGACUUUUUUGCCUCUUUGUCCCUAGAACAGCUCUGCCCAUCAGCCCUCUGUGUGCCAGGCCCCUGCUCUGCUGGGGAAGCCAUUGUGUCCUCUGCCUCUCUUUUGGUCUGGGCGCAGGUGAGCUGGCAGCAAGCUAUUUGAAGGCCUUUUCUGGAGCUCAUGAAGAGAGGCCAUGCAGCAACUGGUUUGAUAACACAGCUGUUUUAAUAAGACAGCAUAAGAAGAAGAGCACAGAUAGUGAGUAAAUCUGACAUCCCUUCAGAGGCUGGGCAGCCCACGUUUGCACAGCAUCAGGCAGAGCCUGGGUGGGUUUCUCCCACGGCGCAGAUCAGAUCCCAUCCCUGGUGAGAAGCUCUCCCUUCCGGUCUUUUGAGCAAUGAUGCAAUUUUCUUGUAAGAAAACAACUCUAUUCCUAAAAGACGUUCUCAUGAGAACUUUUUUCUGCAUUGUUAGACUGGCAUGGACAUCUGCAGGUGGUGUGAUCACCAGUGUCAAGUGGGAGCUGCCUGGAGACUCCUGCAUUGCAAUGAGCUGCUGAGUCUGUCCUGCAACCAAGGGGGUGCUGGGUGGCCAUGCUGGGUGUGCAGCACAGCACAGGCAUGGCUGUACGUAGUUAAUGGAUGUGUUACUUGAUGUGCAGUGUCAGGACCAAUACCCCCUCAGUGCUGCACCACUCCUGAAAUGUGGGUGUCUUCCUUCAGCUAUCACUGGUGACCCUUUCGGUGCACUUGGGUGCUCCUGACUCUAACCCAGGAUUUGGGCUUUGUGUGCUCAUCACCAAAUCUGAGGCUUUCUGCAUAGUUUGGGCUUAUCCUGGCCUCCAACCUGGCAUGUGCACCUGGCACUCAGGCCCAGAUUCUGCACCAGGGACAAGACUGCCCUGGAUAUAUGUACAGACUGGGGGAGAGCAGCCCCUCAGAAAGGGGUCUGGGAGUUCUGGUUGAUGGCAUGUUGAGGGGAAAAGAGCUGCUGGUGCUGGAGAGAGCAGAGGAGGCUGGGGCUGUGGCAGCCUCCAUUGCAGCCCUGCUCCCAGCUCACGAAGGGCUCGGGUUAGCCACAAAAUUGGGGCAGGAGCACAGAGAUGGAAGCGAGGGCUGCCCGCAGGCAGGGCCCACCUGGCUCCCUUGCUCUGCCUGUGGUUCCCACUGCACAGAGCAGCUAAUCCCCACUGGGUGAGGCAGGGAGUGCGCUGUGCUUUGAUGGAGACAAGGAGUGGUUUAGAGGGAAUUAGAAGGGAUUUAUGAUAGUGGAGGAAAUCACAAUAAGCAUGGCUGGCAUGGCCUGUGUCAGGGGCACUGGGAUGUACAGAGGGGAUUGUCACCUGGGCAGGCACCUGAGGAAUUACAGCAUUGGCAGCGGGGCUGCUCACAAGGGUUUCUCUUAAAACCCCAGUUCUCAGAGCUGUGGGACACAAAAAUCUUGGUUUCCUUGUAAAAAUUGUGUGGUAACAGAGAUGAGACACGGAAUAUGAACCAGCAAAGCACAUCCCACUGGAAUGUGAGUAAACAUGUUCCAGCAUUUAUUAUCUUUCCAGUGUGCUUGAAAUCCAGCCCUGACUUGGGCAUGUCCAGCACUAUUUUGGGUUAGCAACAUGGAGAACACAAAGAAUUUCCCUGUUUGCAUGUCUGACCUGAGGUUUCUCCUUGCUUCCAGUUGUUAAAUGAUUGCAUGGCUGCUUUGGGGACCACAUCCAGCACUGAUAGCUCAGAGUCUGUUGUCCCAAGACUUUGUUGUGCAGCAUCAUCUCUCCUGGCUGGUCAGCUGGCUCCUCAGUGCUGGCCAAGAGUCCUGGAGCAAGACAACCAGUCUCUGAUCCACCAUGCUGUGAACUUUGAGUGGCAAAGACAUUGUCUGUUCCUCUUGACUUGCUUGGACAAGUGGUGCAGGCUGAUGAAUGACAUUGGUGUUGGCACUGGUGUUGACUCUAGUUGCUAAUGGUUAUGGAGGACAUCCUGCUGAGCCUGGGGUGAGCUGCUAGAGCAGUUUCAUCUCACAGCCUCAAGGAUGCCAGGAUGCAGCGGAGCCUGGCAAAACACAGGCAGGCUUCUCCAGAGGAGCUUGGGAUCUGGUGGGUGGGUGGGGUGCUGACAGCUUCUCCAGCUGCCCUCAGCCUGCUGCGAAGAGCCUGCCUUCACCUUCCACUCAGCACUCAGGCUGUCAGUGAGAUGUUUGUGAGCUCCCCGUGGUGUCUGGCAGGACUUGCCCACUCAAAAAUCACAGGGCUUGGUGGUGUUGGCAGGCGGGGAUUUGGAAUGCGGCUGGGCUGUACCAGGGGUCUUUAACCCCGCUGUGUAAUAUGCAGCCAGGCUUCCAGCUGUCAGAAGCAGUGGGGUGCAUGUCCCACAUCCCAGCUGCUGAGCACUAGCAUUAGCAUAGUUUCCCACAUGUACAAUAAGAGAUAGAAUGGGAAAGGCUAGGAACCUACCGUCAGGUGGAAAACAUCCAAUUGCUGCCAUCCCCAGAGGCACCUGCAGAGAAAACUCAGCAAGGUUCACGCUGGAGCUUUGUCUGGAGAUAGUCCUGUGUUGUGCACUUAAUGCUGGGAGGGUUUCUGCUCUGCAUCCUGCAGCUUUUCAGAUAGCAUCCUUGGGAGGAGAUCACAAGACAGGAGGAAGAGGACAGUCACAGCAUAUGCGAAGCUGCGGCAGCCAGAGGACUGCAGAUGGAGACAUGGUGGGGUAACAACAUGUGAGUCCCCAAAUGAUCAUGGUGGAAUGCCAGCCGAUGAGUUAGCUGAGCAGGUCUUGGAGUGAGCUGGCAGGAGGACAGGCUAGGUGUCUGGUGGAUGUGUGUGUGAGGUCUUCACCUGCACUGCCAUUGCUGCUGCUGCUGCUGCAGAGCCUUCUGGAGCAGCGGAGGCACAGUGCGGGCUGGCAGUGCCCCAGCUGCUUGGGAAACUCUUCACUGCGCAUUGAGAGAGGUGCCUGGGGGAGGAGAGCACCCCUGGGGAGGAGGUCCACAAGGGCUCCUCUGGCCCUGAGAAGGGGAGUUGUGAGGUCUGCAGUGAUGACGCAGAUCUCAACCUGGGGCAUCCCAUAAGGUGCAUGUUUUUUCCACAGCUGUAUCUCCAUUGGCAGGGCGUGUGAGAUCUUGGGAAUGGAGAGAGACACAGGAACUUCUUUUCCUUUGGCUGUGAAGCCAGGCACUCUUGAGUCUUGGAGUGGCUUGCCUCAAGGUCAUGAAGCAAAUGCUUCCUUGGAGGAAUGGAUGAAGCCAAUGCUGUUCGAAUGUACUUCUGGGCAUCUUUUACCCAAAACCAGUGCAAAAGAGCUUUUGAUUCUCCAUGUAGGCUUCUCUGAAGGCUUAUGUCCAGCACAGACAGCCUCUAACAAAGUUCCAAGGUGACACAGCAAGUUGUCACUGGUCGUGUCAGAUCCUGAGGCCUCAUUCUACUGAGUAUGGAUUCAGAUGCCCAUUUAACUGCUGGCUUUGUCUGGAUGUUGUUUUCCUGCUUUUGGAGGAGAGGUGAGGGUUGGGCUGACCUGCAUUUUGUUAGAACUGCUUCAUCUUUUAAUGCUUUAUCUGAUGGAGAUAAAACAAACUGCAGCAGGAAUUGUACUUCUCAGAUAGUCAGUUCUUGUUUCUCUCUCACAAAGAGCUCUGUUGAGUGUCUGCAGCACAUGGUGUGCAGAGCUGUGGGACAGGGAGAAGACCUGGCUCUGCUGUCCCAAUGCAUGUGGGACAUUUCCUGCCAUGGCUCCUUGGCUGUGUUGCUACAGGGCUGUUUUCUGGCACGGAUGCCAAUAUGCAGCCUGCAUCUGUGCUAUUGAACGCACCCACUGACACAGGGUGGUUAUGUACAGAGAAGGAGCUCUGAACUGUAAGUUUUUCCUAGUCAAAAGAAUGUCAGGGAGUCUGCAGCAGCAUAGGAGUGCAACCACACGUUGCCCUCAUGCAGUUCGAUUUAUUGAUAUUGCUGCAUCUUUGUGUCUGUCUUUCGGGAGAUCCCAGCAAAUAGCAGAUGCUUAUAGCUAGGUGAUGCAAAGGUUGAGCCUUAGGGAUUGGGGGAACGUUUCUGUAGCGGCCACUGUUUACUGUCCAGUGGUGCUCAUAACCCAGCAGAAAAGAAUCCCAAAAGCAGGUAUGUUUUUCAGGAAGGCAGGAGUGGUAGAUGGCAUCUCAGAAGGAGCUUUUCUCAAACUGUGCCUUUCUUCUAAUUCCACCACAGAAAAUGCUAGGUGCCGGGAAAGAUCCUUCUAAACUAUGACCAAAAUGGGAGAGCUCUCCCUCUCCUAGCACAGGGCUGCCUGGGAGCAGUUCCUGAAGGCUGAGGCCACCGCAGAUCCAGCCUGCUCUCUGCCCUCCACAGCCUGCAGGAGCCUGCAGCCAUGGCAGCUCCAGGCGAGUUGGGAGCGUUUUCACAUGAUGACUUCUGCAUAGUGAUGCCCCCGGAGAUUUUCCAUUCCUGAGGGUCUGGAGGAAGAAGGAUGUCCCUGGGAGGGCCUGAGGCCUGCCAGUGGGCCCUGGAGAGGGAGUGCUUUGAUGUGGCCAGGACAGAGCAGGGGCCUAGUGCUGAUUUUGGUGGUGCUGCAGGCUGCCCUGGGGCAGAAGCUGGCUCUCCAUUGCAUUCGGCAUGCUCGUUGGAGCUCACAGCUGGAACAUGCUGUCCUAGAAAACUGCAUCAGUCCCAGAGUCUCUGAGGCUCUUGCUCCUGCAUAGCCAUAUCCAGUCACAGGAAAGUGGGACAGGAGGGACCUGGCAGAAGCUCAGGCGUGGGGAGGAAACCACGAGGCUCUGUGCUGCUGCUGGUGUGAGCCUGGCAUGGCUUCUCCCCAGGUGCUUGGAAAAUUGCGAAGGGGAAAUCAAGGUAAAGAGGAUGAAGGCUAGCAACUCAAGUUCAGCCACAUGGCUUUUUUCUAUGCCUAAAACUUUCUCAGGUGCUAAUUAAGGACACAUGAAGUGAUUAGUAUCACCUGUGAUUUAAUUAAGGUUAAUAGGCAGCACCUGUCAUUAAUGACAACCACAAUGCUUUUCUGACAUGAUCCACAUCAGCUGCAGCCUUCUUGUGGUGCAGCUUGCUUUGCCAAAGUGUGGAGCAAUCUACCUGCAAGGAGGUGCUCAGCUGUAACACAGUACCACUUUGUGUUGAAAAGGACUCUCAGGUUAAAAUCAUAUCUAGAAAUAGUUGUGCAUUCCCUUACAUCUGUUUCUAAUAGCACAGUUGAUACGAGGAAGUCAGGGGGAUAUUCAGAAAUGAGAAAAUGUCUGGGCACAGAGCUUUCUGCUCCUUGUGGCUCUGCCUGCAUAGCCACCCAUGUGCACACCCCAAACAUAUUUUUAAUAAUCAUAAGCAAUGUCUUUAGGGAAAGCUGCUGAAACUUUCACUCUAAAAUUGUUUUCUGCUCCAUGCGUGGCUCCCAAGAAUAUCCCAUGGGCUUGUUUUCUGGGAGUCGGGGGGUCAGUGAGGGGCGUCUCACAGCACGGCGUUAUCAAGGGCUUGGUGUAACUUCCAUUUGAUUCCUUGUGCAUCUGCUCUACAAAGUGGUUUUACUUGUCUUGAUUGCCAGGCUGCAGAGACAGGUCAUGCAGGGAUGCUGAUGAGUGUCUAGCCAGUGCUCAAAUACAUUCUAAUAGCAGUGGGUCUGGAUGCAGGCCUAGAGGCUUGCAAGGGCUCUGCCACAGUGCCAUUGCUUCCAUUUCACAAUUUGCAGACCAGUCCUGAAGCCCUCCUAAUCCCCACUUUCACCCAUAUGCUUUAAGCUGCUAGGAUAUGAGGAACCCUGUUUAAAGCUGGCUGUAUCCUCUUACAUGAACCCAAGUGCUGGGAAUUGCAAGAGAUCUUGGAGGAUUCAGACUGACUGGGAGAAGUGAUGAGCUGUGCCGUGGGACGAGGACAUGUCUGGAGGGUCCAGGAAAGGGAGCACAUCUUAGCAGCCCUACACCUCUCUUGAAUCAGUUGUGUGAAUGCUGCUGGGAGGUUUUGCAUGCUAUUCGACAUCUCCCUGGAGAUGAAAGGUUCCUCCCUGAACUCUUGUUCAAGGGGACAAUUAAUCUGCAAAACAGAUGUUGAAGGGCAUCUGGACAACUGUAACCAAAGUUCCUAUUCAGUUGCUUGGAGCAAGGUGCAGCAUUUCAGCACGUAGUAUAGUGGUAUAUGCUGGAGCAGACCCUGGGCAGGGGAGGCUGGUGAAGACAUUCUCAUUGAUUGCCGUAGUUGUACUGUUCGUGCAAAGCCAUUUGUAUAACCUGAGAAUCUGGCCUGUUAGCAGAUACUUUGGGCACAGACUAACGGCAGUUCUGAUCCGGGCAAGGUGUUUCCCAGAAAUGAGCUGAGCUUUGGGACUGGGGCCCAAGGGCAGGAGCUGCCAGGCAGACUGGCAGUGCCUGAGUUGUGGGGUUAUAGGGUUAAUGAGGCUGACGCGUGGAAUACCCUAUCUCUCCCUCUAGGAUGGGAGUGGUCUGGAGAUAGGUGUUACUGGGGGUUCUGCACACCUUAUUUCUGCAUCUCAACACCAGCUUGUUCUUUUACAGAGGGCUGGGAGGAGUGGGAACAGAAGGUCCCAACUGUCUGGAACUGCUUGGCCUGAUCCUGGUGCCCAGUUCCGAUGUUGUCCUGGGGAAUGGGCUCCAUCCUCCUUUUCCCUCCCUGCUGGCAGCCCUUCUCUGCCAAAACUGCCCUGCUCCGGCUCUGCCACAGUCCAGCUGGGAACAGCCUGGGUGCAGGCAGCAGAGAGCAGCAGCCUUCCUGCUGCCAGACACUGAGCAGAUGGUUUCAUCCACACCUAGACAAAGCUCUGUCUACUGGGCUGACAUGGGAGGCUAAACAGUUGCGUGAACACAUUCCCCCUGUCAUCGCUGGCUUUUCCUGUGCAGUUGUUCUGAGGGACAAGGAGAGGGGUCAGCAUGUGGGAUGGCUGAACAUGUGGAACGCCUUGAUCCCAGCCCAGGUCUGCAGGGGCUGAGUACCAGCAGAGGAGGAAGUGUGGGACCCAGCUACUGGGCAUAGUGGGGCUCGUUUUGCGGAGGUUGCCAUUCACACACUGACCGCGGUGCUCGCCAGCUCCCGAGGGAGGAAGCAAUCUGUGUCAUCUCACAGCGGGCUUCCUUAAAUCUCAGCCUGAUUAAGUGAUGGCAAUAUGGGCUGCCUGAUAUGAAAGAGACAGCAUCCUCCUCCGAAAAGAGCCGAUCGUUAGUGCAGAAAUAGCCUGUUAAUUGUGUGCAUUUUCCUGCAGUCAGAGGCCCUUAACACAUUAAAUCACCAGAUUCUGACUCCUGUGGGUAGAUAUGUGGAGACAACCAACAUCACAUUGGUUACAAAGUGAGCCUGCCAUGCAUCUGAGAAAGGUGAAUUUGAACACUCUGGGUUUCUUUUCAACAUCAAGGUGUGUGAAGGAUUUGGGGAAUAUCCUGUCAGCUUUUGACAUCUUAUCUGACCUUGAAAAUGCGGUACUUGUGCUUUCUGUGGUGAGAUAUGGGCUGAAAUACCCAUGGAUUGCAUGCAGAGAUGGUGAGGCUUGCAAGAAAGCUUUGCUGUAGAAGAGGAGAUGUUGUGGCAGGCCCUUGGAAGGGUUUCUCCUGGAUUUUUUUGGCAGUGGUUUUCCAUCAGCACGUUUACUGAUGGAAACUGAGAGCUGUAUCAUGGUUGGUCUGGAAAGGGAGUUUAAUGUGCAGACCUCAUAUAAAAAAAGUGCUGUAACUGGUUACAUUAGAGUUAUUUAUUCACUUCAAAGAGAUAAAAGCUUUCUGGAAUCAGUGCAGUCAUCUUAGCUUGUGGCUGUUGUUUUUCUUAGUUUCUUGUGUAUUUUAGAGAUCCAGUUAAUUAUAGGGAAUGACUGAUGCUCAGAAGAAUACAGCUCAAGCUGAACUGUUUUCUUUAUUUUUCUUUCCCUUUGUUCUCAGAAAGCAGAGAGCUGGGGCCUGCCUUGGUAGUGGGUCCUCAGCACUCAACAUACAGGAAUAAAAUACUGUCAACUACGUUUGUGCUGAUACACGGACAGACAUUAGUGCUUCUCCACUUUGUGGAGCAGAGAGGUAUGGAGGUAAUGUAAAUGACAGCAUCAAUCCGUUUUGCCUGGUGAACACGAUGUAGAAGACAUAAAUUAAGAGUUGUCUGCUGGAAUCCUCCAGAGACGUGAUCUGGAAGACAUCAGCCUCAGGUGCUGCUGCUUUGUCUGCAGGUUCCCAGCUCUGCGGAAGGAAAUGCGGGCUGUCCUUGCCUUGCACACUCCUUAAUUUCAGCAUGCUGUUUAGCCACCAAAAUCUGACAGAGCCAGGAAUAUGAAGCUGCUUCUUCUGGCCCUGUUUGUGCUCAGUGACCUGAAGGCGACCUAGCCAAAGCUUUCCUUAGCAGUUCCCAAGCCAUUCUUUCUCUCAUGCUUCGCUACUCCAGGAAGAAAGGGCAAUUCUUGGAUCACCACAGCCUGCUUGACUUCUCCAAUCUCAAGUUAUUCUGCUUUUGACAUAGGCAGCAGGCUGGCAGCUGGCACUUGUGAGAGCUGAGGAGGAGAGUUCAUGGGAAAAGGACAGCCUCCAGUUUCAGUGCUUGCAGACCAGCUGGUGUUUCAUUGGGAUCCUGAAGGAUUUUUGCUGGAUUGUUUUCAGGACAUGUGAGGAAAGAAGAGAGUGACAAUGCAGAUGGAAUGGAUGAAAAUGCCAAGUGAUUAAACAGCUGUAGAUGAAUGGAGAUGCAGCUUAAGAGAUUUGACUGUCGCCUGCUGAAUGGAGAGAUAGAAGGAAAGAUUGUGUUCACGUGCACCAGGAUUGCAAAUCCCACCCCUCCCCCAGCAGAUCUUAAUUUGUGUUUGUUACUCAUUUUGAACCUUCCUAUGUAUAAACCUCCACACAGCUCUGUACUGCACCUUUAUAGCCCCAGCUACUAUUUCUACCUCCCAGAACCUCUGAUCUUGUUUUCUGGGCAGAGAUCCUAUAAAA